rnacentral:rRNA from 1 species
CAGUCGCCGCGGUAAUACGGAGGGUGCAAGCGCUAAUCGGAAUUACUGGGCGUAAAGCGUGCGUAGGCGGUUCGUUAAGUCUGUUGUGAAAGCCCCGGGCUCAACCUGGGAAUGGCAAUGGAUACUGGCGAGCUAGAGUGUGUCAGAGGAUGGUGGAAUUCCCGGUGUAGCGGUGAAAUGCGUAGAGAUCGGGAGGAACAUCAGUGGCGAAGGCGGCCAUCUGGGACAACACUGACGCUGAGGCACGAAAGCGUGGGGAGCAAACAGGAUUAGAUACCCCAGUAGUCCCUGUCUCUUAUAC